rnacentral:rRNA from 1 species
GGAAUUUUGGACAAUGGGGGAAACCCUGAUCCAGCCAUUCCGCGUGUGCGAUGAAGGCCUUCGGGUUGUAAAGCACUUUUGGCAGGAAAGAAAUCGCACAGAUUAAUACUUUGUGUGGAUGACGGUACCUGCAGAAUAAGCACCGGCUAACUACGUGCCAGCAGCCGCGGUAAUACGUAGGGUGCAAGCGUUAAUCGGAAUUACUGGGCGUAAAGCGUGCGCAGGCGGUUCGGAAAGAGAGGUGUGAAAUCCCAGGGCUUAACCUUGGAACUGCACUUUUAACUCCCGAGCUAGAGUAUGUCAGAGGGGGGUGGAAUUCCGCGUGUAGCAGUGAAAUGCGUAGAUAUGCGGAGGAACACCGAUGGCGAAGGCAGCCCCCUGGGAUGAUACUGACGCUCAUGCACGAAAGCGUGGGGAGCAAACGGGAUUAGAUACCCUGGUAGUCCACGCCCUAAACGAUGUCAACUAGCUGUUGGGGGCUUCGGCCCUUAGUAGCGCAGCUAACGCGUGAAGUUGACCGCCUGGGGAGUACGGUCGCAAGAUUAAAACUCAAAGGAAUUGACGG